rnacentral:tRNA from 1 species
GGAGAAAUGGCUCAGUGGUUAAGAGCACUGACUGUUCUUUCAAAGGUCCUGAGUUCAAUUCCCAGCAACCACA